rnacentral:rRNA from 1 species
UACGGAGGGGGCUAACGUUGUUCGGAAUUACUGGGCGUAAAGCGCGCGUAGGCGGCUUUGUAAGUUAGAGGUGAAAGCCCGGGGCUCAACCCCGGAACUGCCUUUAAGACUGCAUCGCUUGAAUCCAGGAGAGGUGAGUGGAAUUCCGAGUGUAGAGGUGAAAUUCGUAGAUAUCUGGAGGAACACCGGUGGCGAAGGCGGCAUCCUGGACCGGCAUUGACGCUGAGGCGCGAAAGCCAGGGGAGCAAACGGG